GGGAUUGUGGCUCAAUGGUAGAGUGUUUGCCUAGUAUGCAUGAGGCACUGGGUUCAAUCCUCAGCACCA
rnacentral:tRNA from 1 species